AUCAAGCACAGGUCCAUUCAGGUCUGAUCGGAUUUCCUUUUCACUGGCAAUAUUUGACUGGCUUUCUACAAGAUGGGUCAACCAUCGAGAUGGGUGUGGGGGGUCCUUCUGUGCCUUACCAUUUCUACAACUCCAGGUUCAUCUGCAGAUUCAUUAGACCCUGCCACAUUUGACACUACAACUCUGGCUUUGGCAAUCGAGAUCACCAAUCAAGUAUUCAAUGCCUCCCUGCAGAAUCAUCAAUCAGAGUACUCCAAGUGGAUGGAUGCAGAAGUGAAAAUGCUGCUUGACGGCGUUUACAAAUGUAACAAUUGCGAUACAAAACCAACCUACGGAGGUGUUGAGUGCAUAACCUACAGAUCCGGACUGAUAGCUACCGCGUCUAUCAUCUUCAACACCGAAUACAUCAACCCAUCUAUUGUCUGUGGAAUCUUUGAACAAAAUAUUGCAACAGCUCAACAACAUACAAAACUCAUUGUGAACAAGGAAUGCACAAUCAACACGACGAUCGAAAUAGAUAAAGAUGCGUGCAAGAAUAUAAGUACAACUACUGAGCCACCUAUAACUCCUGAACCAACGUCAACUCCUGAGCCAACUUCAACUCCUGAGCCAACCUCAACCUCUUCAACUCCUGAGCCAACUUCAACUCCUGAGCCAACCUCAACCUCUUCAACUCCUGAGCCAACUUCAACUCCUGAGCCAACUUCAACUCUGCAACCAACUUCAACUCCUUCAACUCCUGAGCCAACUACAACUCCUGAGCCAACUUCAACUCCUGAGCCAACUUCAACUCCUUCAACUCCUGAGCCAACUUCAACUCUGCAACCAACUUCAACUCCUACAACUCCUGAGCCAACUACAACUCCUGAGCCAACUUCAACUCUGCAGCCAACUUCAACUCCUUCAACUCCUGAGCCAACUACAACUCUGCAACCAACUUCAACUCCUUCAACUCCUGAGCCAACAACAACCACUGACCAUACAGUGACCCCUGACCUGACAAAUAACCCUGACCCUACAACGACCCCUGACCUUACCAACUCCACUGACCCUACCAAUACCCCUAACCAUACAGCAACCCUUGACCCGGCCAAUGGUGGAGGAAUAUCUGUUUCUCCCAGUGGUGGAGAAAACCGUGACGAUAGAGACUGGGUGCCCGGAUGGGGCAUUGCCGUCCUGGUGUUAGCUGCAGCCAUCCUGUUGCUUCUCAUCAUCCUUUCUAUCCUUUUGUGUGUUCACCAUUGCCGCGAGCGCCCAUCAGAGGACCCCAUGGAGAAGAACACUGACCCAUACUAUGAGCAGAACGAGAUGCCUCCUCAGGAAACUGUGCCAGUACUCUAUCCAUCAUUACCGAUAACAGCGCCCUCAAGUCCAAUGCAGACAAAGAUGGUUGUUGGUGACACACCCAAAAAGAAUCGGACAGGCUUCUAUGCUGUGAAUCCUUGACAUGAAGGCAAAUGAGCAUGUUUUUCGGAUUCAGGCCCACAAAAGAUGACGAAUGAAAGAGAAUAGGAGGCCUUUGACUAUACUGUGUAAGGAAUUUGAUUUGCAUGAAUGCUAUUUAUUACCCAUUCUGUAUUACACAACUUUAUUUAUAGCGAAAAUACAUAUUUUAAUCGUUGUAUCCUAUUGUAAUUAUAUUUCAUGUAUCAUGUUACUCAUUUAUGUCAUUUUGUUAUUAGUUUCCUGCUAAAGCCCCAUGUCCAUGAUAAGCUGGGAAAGAGCCCAGCGUCAGAGCUCUGUUUGUCAAGGAGACCCAUAAACGGAAAUAGCUAGUUCUGGCGGCACACUCUAGUCAUACGCCCCCUAAUCCAAUCAAACGCACCUACACUGACAGGCGGUCAAUUUAGGACCUUGUUUGCUGAGAAUUCACCCACAACCACCCAGCCUCCACCUGCUCUGGUUCUGCUCUGUAUUGUGUGUAACCGACACUACGGGUUAAUAUAUCUGAUGAACCCCAUGGAGGAUUGUAUUGUGCUCCCUGUUGUCAUGUUGGUAUUCUGUACCUGACAUCUAUAUGUGAUGCUUUAAAUCCUACAGCAGGGAGCACCAGAAAAGAGUGGAACCAUACCGCCAAACUAAGAUGCAUCACCAUUUUAUGAAAUAAUUGGUUGAACCUAUAACCAGAGUGAUUAUUGACAGGCCUACUUGUAUUGUGCCAGUCCAGCACUCUGCAAACCGGCUGAAGAAAACAGCAAUAUAUCACUUGACUCUCAAGUUUCUGACUGCAGAAUAAAAAAUGAUUGUCAUUCAUUUUAAACUCAGUGGAAAAUGCUACAUUUAAAGAUAGUUUCAGCAUUAUAUUGCAUUUUUACACAUAGAUCAGUAGUUAUAUCAGUAUAUUAUGUUAGGUUUGUUAGCUAAUGCCAUAUUUUCUGUUGUUGCUAUGGUUGCUACUAUGGACCUGUUCUCCAACCUAAACAAAAUAAUUGGUUGUUUUUCAGUCAGAACCCAAACAGCUAUUUCAAUAAAAACGUGGAUUUGA
ensembl:lncRNA